rnacentral:tRNA from 1 species
CCCUGGUUAGCUCAGCUGGGAGAGCGCUCCACAGGAAAUUGUGUGGUCCCGGGUUCGCAACGCGGACCAGGCG